rnacentral:rRNA from 1 species
UUAGGGUUGUAAAGCUCUUUCAGCUGGGAAGAUAAUGACGGUACCAGCAGAAGAAGCCCCGGCUAACUCCGUGCCAGCAGCCGCGGUAAUACGGAGGGGGCUAGCGUUGUUCGGAAUUACUGGGCGUAAAGCGCACGUAGGCGGACCGGAAAGUUGGAGGUGAAAUCCCAGGGCUCAACCUUGGAACUGCCUUCAAAACUAUCGGUCUGGAGUUCGAGAGAGGUGAGUGGAAUUCCGAGUGUAGAGGUGAAAUUCGUAGAUAUUCGGAGGAACACCANUGGCGAAGGCNGCUCACUGGCUCGAUACUGACGCUGAGGUGCGAAAGCGUGGGGAGCAAACAGGAUUAGAUACCCUGNUAGUCCAAGGGCGAAU